rnacentral:rRNA from 1 species
GACGAACGCUGGCGGCGUGCUUAACACAUGCAAGUCGAACGGAAAGGCCCUGCUUUUGUGGGGUGCUCGAGUGGCGAACGGGUGAGUAACACGUGAGUAACCUGCCCUUGACUUUGGGAUAACUUCAGGAAACUGGGGCUAAUACCGGAUAGGAGCUCCUGCUGCAUGGUGUGGGUUGGAAAGUUUCGGCGGUUGGGGAUGGACUCGCGGCUUAUCAGCUUGUUGGUGGGGUAGUGGCUUACCAAGGCUUUGACGGGGAGCCGGCCUGAGAGGGUGACCGGCCACAUUGGGACUGAGAUACGGCCCAGACUCCUACGGGAGGCAGCAGUGGGGAAUAUUGCAAAAUGGGCGGAAGCCUGAUGCAGCAACGCCGCGUGCGGGAUGACGGCCUUCGGGUUGUAAACCGCUUUCGCCUGUGACGAAGCGUGAGUGACGGUAAUGGGUAAAGAAGCACCGGCUAACUACGUG